AGUGAACGCUGGCGGUAGGCUUAACACAUGCAAGUCGAACGGCAGCACAGUAAUAGCUUGCUGUUAUGGGUGGGGAGUGGCGGACGUGAGAGGUAAAUAUCGUACUCUACUUUUUCGUGGGGGUUAAGGUAGGGAAACUUACUCUAAUACAGCAUACGAUCUACGGGUGAAAGCAGGGGAUAUUCUGAGCUUGCGCGAUUGAAUGAGCGGAUGUCGGAUUUGCUAGUCGGCGGGGUAAUGGCCCAGCAAGGCGACGAUACGUAGCUGGUCUGGGAGGAUGGUAGGCCACACUGGAGCUGAGACACGCACAAGACUACUACGGGAGGCAGCAGUGGGGAAUAUUAGACAAUAGUCGCAAGCCUGGUCCAACCAUCCCGCGUGGGUGGAAGAGGCCUUCGGGUUGUAAAGCCCUUUUGUUGGGAGAGAACCGCAGCCGGUUAAUACCUCGCUGUUCUGACGGUACCCAAAGAAUAAGCACCGGCUAACUUCGUG
rnacentral:rRNA from 1 species